rnacentral:rRNA from 1 species
GCGGGUAUAUCCUGCGAAGCAAUCGGAAGUGGUUCCAAGAAAAGCCUCUAAGCUUCAGUCAUACGAGACCGUACCGCAAACCGACACAGGUGGGCGAGAUGAGUAUUCUAAGGCGCUUGAGAGAACUCGGGAGAAGGAACUCGGCAAAUUGGUACCGUAACUUCGGGAUAAGGUACGCCCUUGUAGUUUGACCCCCCUGCGGGGGAAGGACGAAGGGGUUGCAAUAAACUGGUGGCUGCGACUGUUUAAUAAAAACACAGCACUCUGCAAACACGAAAGUGGACGUAUAGGGUGU